rnacentral:rRNA from 1 species
AGUCGAGCGGACCGACGGGAGCUUGCUCCCUUAGGUCAGCGGCGGACGGGUGAGUAACACGUGGGUAACCUGCCUGUAAGACUGGGAUAACUCCGGGAAACCGGGGCUAAUACCGGAUGCUUGAUUGAACCGCAUGGUUCAAUCAUAAAAGGUGGCUUUUAGCUACCACUUACAGAUGGACCCGCGGCGCAUUAGCUAGUUGGUGAGGUAACGGCUCCCCAAGGCCACGAUGCGUAGCCGACCUGAGAGGGUGAUCGGCCACACUGGGACUGAAACACGGCCCAAACUCCUACGGGAGGCAGCAGUAGGGAAUCUUCCGCAAUGGACGAAAGUCUGACGGAACAACGCCGCGUGAGUGAUGAAGGUUUUCGGAUCGUAAAACUCUGUUGUUAGGGAAGAACAAGUACCGUUCGAAUAGGGCGGCACCUUGACGGUACCUAACCAGAAAGCCACGGCUAACUACGUGCCAGCAGCCGCGGUAAUACGUAGGUGGCAAGCGUUGUCCGGAAUUAUUGGGCGUAAAGCGCGCGCAGGCGGUUUCUUAAAGUCUGAUGUGAAAAGCCCCCCGGGCUCAACCGGGGGAGGGGUCAUUGGAAAACUGGGGGAAACUUUGAAGUGCCAGAAAGAAGGAGAAGUGGGAAUUUCCACGUGGUAAGCGGGUGAAAAUGCCGUAGAAGGAUGUGGGAAGGAAACACCCAGUGGGCGAAAGGCGAACUCCUCUGGGUCUGGUAAACUGGACGCCUGAAGGCGCCGAAAAGCCGUGGGGGAAGCGAAACAGGGAUUUAGAAUACCCCUGGGUAAGUCCCACCGCCCGUAAAAACGAAUGAAGUGGCUAAAGUGGUUAAAAGGGUUUCCGCCCUUUAGUGCUGCAGCAAACGCAUUAAGCACUCCGCCUGGGGAGUACGGUCGCAAGACUGAAACUCAAAGGAAUUGACGGGGGCCCGCACAAGCGGUGGAGCAUGUGGUUUAAUUCGAAGCAACGCGAAGAACCUUACCAGGUCUUGACAUCCUCUGACAACCCUAGAGAUAGGGCUUCCCCUUCGGGGGCAGAGUGACAGGUGGUGCAUGGUUGUCGUCAGCUCGUGUCGUGAGAUGUUGGGUUAAGUCCCGCAACGAGCGCAACCCUUGAUCUUAGUUGCCAGCAUUCAGUUGGGCACUCUAAGGUGACUGCCGGUGACAAACCGGAGGAAGGUGGGGAUGACGUCAAAUCAUCAUGCCCCUUAUGACCUGGGCUACACACGUGCUACAAUGGGCAGAACAAAGGGCAGCGAAGCCGCGAGGCUAAGCCAAUCCCACAAAUCUGUUCUCAGUUCGGAUCGCAGUCUGCAACUCGACUGCGUGAAGCUGGAAUCGCUAGUAAUCGCGGAUCAGCAUGCCGCGGUGAAUACGUUCCCGGGCCUUGUACACACCGCCCGUCACACCACGAGAGUUUGUAACACCCGAAGUCGGUGAGGUAACCUUUUGGAGC